GGGUCCAUCUAGUUUGGAAGUCAGUUUUGUUCCUUGACUUCUCUAUUCUUUGAACCCAUGAUUCUUCGCCAUUUGAUCUGCAUUUAUGUUGCUUACAGCUGAGUAAGUUCCGAUUAAACAGCAAGAGAAGACCACAGACCUCCUAGGCAGGAAGUGAGUUUAAUCAGAGAAGUGUGGAAAAGGUCAAAGUGGCCAAAGGCUUGAGAUUCAUAAGACUGUGUGUGGCAUGACAAUGUUUCAAGAAGGAAAAGAUAGCAGCCUAAGCCAGAUCCCAGGGUUAAAGGACACUGGAUUAAAUAUCAGAAUCUCAAUAACCUGGACCUCUGAUGCGAGGGAAGUUGGAUGUGCCUACUCAAAAUUUGAAAGGGCUUCCAGCAGAAGGUGUGGCCCAGUUGAAAGAUAUGCCUUCCCAUCUCAAGAUCUGGAUUAAAGACCUGUCUUCCUGCUUCAAGGACUGGGAUCUCAAGUGUGCCCUCCAUUUCUGGACUGUAGUUCAUUCAAGAUACAGUCAAUUUAACAACCAAGAAGAGCCAUCACAGGGACCCAACACACUUGAUGUUGGGGUGAACCACAUAGAAGACAUUGGGGGGGGUAGGUAAGCAGAUGUGAGCUGUGAUCCACUCUUAACUUACAGACUGAAAGGCAGCAGGAGCCUCAGCAACAUAGCUACCAGGAACUGAAUCUGGACAAGUUGCCUGAACUUGGAAACAGAUCCUUCCCCCAGAUAAUCCAGUAAGGAAGCCAGACCUGCUAACGCCUUGUCCUGAGGGGUAUAAACAUCCCGUGCCCCCAUCACCACCGCUACCACUCAAGGAGCAGCCGUUUGUAUAGGAUUCAACAGCUGCUGAGUGAUGGGGCUGGGGUUUAAACUCAUGUCUAGAUUGUUUCCACUACACUACACAGUCUCCUUGUGAUCCAGGUCCAUCUGAGCCCAGGGAAGUGGGGAAGAAUAACAAGAUGUGGUAUUCAACACCUGCAAAAAAGGGUAUAGAAGUCCACAAGAGCCAUGCCACAGAGACCUCGAGUGGUGGAGGAACCCUAGGGAAGGGCUGGUUUGAGAGAGGCUCAAAGAAAGUCGAGGCCUCCAAAAUACAGAGUCCAUUUACUCUUCCAGAAGGGACUGUGUUAAACUAAGAAUACACGUGAUGUGUUCAGGAAGCAAAGCCAGUAGCUACUGCUGUGUUCUCCAAGUGAGCACAGAGGGAAUCAACCGAGCCCCUUGGACCUUUCAGCAUCUCCUGAGCCCUGGUAUGGCCCCUCUCACCCGUCCCCCCCCCCAUGGGGAUUGUUAAAAAUGUAGAAUUUGGGGCCCAGUUCAAGAACUCCUCAAACAGAAUCUGCAUUUCUUCAAGAUCUCUGUGAGUGUUUGAGAAGAGCUAGGCCCACUCCUAGUCUUUUACACCCAUAACUAAGAAGGAAGGAGAUUAAAAGGCCUCUUGCUCUGCCCUCUGCCCCAUUCCCACCUCUUCUGAAAAAGCCUGUUGUCUGUCAGUGAAGUCGGGCUUGCGAGAUUCUUCCUCUUAACUGCUUUACCUAAAACCCAGUAUCCUCUUCCUGUCCCUUGGGUGUCAAGCUCUUCUCAACUUCACUCAGCCUGAGAGCUAUGAACGUCUGCACUUGAGAAUGUGAAACAAAUGCAUUUGGUGUUCAAAUAUGUACAAAACAGAAUGAUCUGUGCCAGGAGCCAGUCCCAAACAACUGGCCUAUGUAUGUUGUGGUGAGCCUGAAAGAAUAUUCUGUACCAGCGUUUCUUUUGCUCUGCAAGGUCUCUAAAAGGACAGUACAGCCCUUGGUUUGGAAUCAGAACACCUCAGAGAGAAGUGGUCCCAAUGUCUAGUACAGAGCCUGUGAGUCAUCUGGUUGUUUGUUCCAGAUUUCUGAUUCAUAACUACCAUCUGGGAAGAUUCCAAGUUCAGAAAAAUCCAGGGGAAAACCACUGUCCCUGAGAAUGGUGGCAUACACCUGGAAUCCCAACAAGGGAGACUGAGGCAUGAUGACAGUGAGUUUGAAGCCACCAGGGACUCCACAGUGAGACCAUGUUCUCCAUACAUAAAAGAAACAUAGUGCGCAAAAAUUGAGAUCCCAGGAGCUCCUCCUGACUCCCAUCUACAUAACACAACAAAAUAAGAAUGACAACAAAAAGGGAACAAACUGAAAAUCAACAGCUCUUCUUAGAUUCCUCAGAGAAUUUAGGUCACAGACUGUUGCCCCCAAGCAAGAGGGACAAGCCAAUGAAUGCAGGGAACUUCAGUUCACCAAAAGCAGAAGUGUGGGAACAGAAACCAGUAACACGAACAACCACUGACAAAUCGCUGUUGGUUCUGUUUGCUCAAGUGUGAGAAUUAUACACUUUAGAGGGUCCAAUCUCAGGAACUUUCCUGAGUUUUACCAUUACCAUGUUUCUACUGUGAGAAAGAAGGAAAAGCACACUAUUGCUUUCCCACUGAGGUAGGGACAUUGCCGAUUUGAAAUAUGUCUGAAUUCUCUGGGUUCUCCUUGCCAAGACCUAACCUCAAAGAACCAGUACUGCAGAGUCUGACUCAUGGGGUUUUACCAGGGGCCUAAGUGAUCUGGAAAGGGAAAUACCCGACUUGGCCUCAUUAAAACCUAGAACUGAUCCAGGACUAUCAAGCUGUCCCCUCCUUCUACCAAUAGGUCUACAGCACUCCUCAUAAAUAACCCAGGGAUAGCAGCAGGGAAAACUGCAGGCCUCCAACUUAUUCAGGAGUCUCUAGGCCAACUCACAGACAGCAGAGGAGGCAGAAAGAGGGACACAGGAAGCUUCAUCUCUGACACACAUUCCAGGCUUCCAGAGACAAUAGCCUGAUAAACACAAAGGGACACUAAACUUGAAUGACCCUGCAGUGAAGAUAUCCAUGUAUCCAGGUGUAGUCUGCUCUCAUGGAAUGCUCUAGCUUCUCUACUUAUGACAAAGGACUCAGAAAAACACCCGCAUGGAUAGGGCAUUGAGGAAGUCACUCUAUAGAUCCUGACAGUUGUCAUCUAGCCACAAGCAAGCACUGAUCCUGAGUUCUUGCCAUCCUGUAAAUUCCACAGCAGUUGAAGACAGUCCGGGUGGUUCCGGCCUGUAAUCCCAUCAUUUGGGAGGCUGAGUCCGGAGGAUAGUCUUGAAUUUCAGGAGGAUAGCCUUGGCCCUCCUGAGAAAUAAAACCAAGGGAAGAAAAUACAUGGGGACUGCACUUUAGAGCCUACUGGGUUUAUUUGUUUCAAGUCACCAAGAUGUCAAUGAAGGCUUUAUAGUUUAUUGUGCUAAGAAGUUCAGUUAAUUAAUAAAUAUUUGUACUGACAACUUUAUCUUGAUGAAUCUUAUAAGUCAAAGUGUUUCUCUCUCCCUUUUGCCCAAUCUGCCAGCCAAUGUAUGGGUGUCAUAGGACUUCUUUUCCUAAGGACUAAGGACAUCUAUCUUCUAGAUAUGAUUGAUAUCUUUAGUGUAGUUAAGAGGAAGUUGUUGUAUGCCCUUUCUGUGGUCAUUUUCCUAUUUACCAAAGAAGAUAGUUAUAGCUAGCUUCUUCCAGACUCAGAGUCCUGGUCAAAUAAACUAAUAAAUAGCCCAUCAAUGCCAUU